GUAUUGGUCAGGCUGUCGCUGAGCACCCCACUCCCGGCCGCUAUCCCACUACUGCCCGAUACGGAGGCUUUUGGCUGCUGGGUUUCCCCUCUGGCCCGGUUCGCCCCUCCUUAGUGAACCUGCACUCCCCAGAUUCCUCCAGAGUGUCCAUAUUAACACCAGGCUUAGCGUAGACGUCCAGUCAACAUGAGCCACACAGCGCCAGGACUCCCAACCUCAAACCAUCCUCCGGCCCUGACCUCCGAGUAGCCGGAUUACAGGAGACGCCACGCUCCCAGUCGAAAUAUACGGGUCUGGUUGUAUUGGUCGGGCUGUCGAUGAGCGCCCACUCCCGGCCGCUAUCCCACUACUGCCCGAUACGGGGACUUUUGGCUGCUGGGUUUCCCCUCUGGCCCGGUUCGCCCCUCCUUAGUGAACCUGCACCCUUCGGAUUCCUCCAAGGGGUCCAUAUUAAUACCGGGCUUAGUGUGGACGUCCAGUCAACAUGGGCCACACACCGCCAGGACUCCCGACCUCAAACCAUCCUCCGGCCCCGACCUCCGAGUAGCCGGAUUACAG